rnacentral:rRNA from 1 species
CCUACGGGAGGCAGCAGUGAGGAAUAUUCGUCAAUGACCGGAAGGUUGAACCAGCCAUGCCGCGUGAAGGUCAGUGCUCUAUGGGCGUUAAACUUCUGUUGUGCGGGAGCAAUAAUGGUCAUGUGUGGCCAGACGAGAGUACCGUACGAUUAAGCAUCGGCUAUCACGGUGCCAGAAGCGGCGGUAUUACGGGUAAUGCAAGCGUGAUCCGUAUUUAUUGGGUUUAAAGGGUGAGUAGUCGGUGAGGUAAGUCUGCGGUGAAAUGCCACCGCUCAACAGGGUGACGUGCCUUUGAUACUAGCAAACUAGAAUGCGAAUGAGGUAAGAGGAAUGUGAGGUGUAGCGGUGAAAUGCAUAGAUAU